rnacentral:rRNA from 1 species
CCUACGGGUGGCAGCAGUCGAGAAUCAUUCACAAUGGGGGAAACCCUGAUGCUGCGACGCCGCGUGGGGGAAUGAAGGUCUUCGGAUUGUAAACCCCUGUCAUGUGGGAGCAAAUUAAAAAGAUAGUACCACAAGAGGAAGAGACGGCUAACUCUGUGCCAGCAGCCGCGGUAAUACAGAGGUCGAAAGCGUUGUUCGGAAUCACGGGGCGUAAAGGGUGCGUAGGCUGUUUCGUAAGUCGUGUGUGAAAGGCGCGGGCUCAACCCGCGGACGGCACAUGAUACUGCGAGACUAGAGUAUGGGAGGGGUAACCGGAAUUCUUGGUGUAGCAGUGAAAUGCGUAGAUAUCGAGAGGAACACUCGUGGCGAAGGCGGGUUCCUGGACCUUAACUGACGCUGAGGCACGAAGGCCAGGGGAGCGAAAGGGAUUAGAUACCCGUGUAGUC